GGGACUAUGUGAAAAGACCAAAUCUACGUCUGAUUGGUGUACCUGGAAGGUCCACGUUAAGGAACAUGGACUUAGAGGACAUCACACUUGAAAAAAAGUAACUAUAUUCAAGAAGAAAUUACUUUUACUCUUGGAGGAAAAGCAACUCACCAAUAGCUUCAGUUUGCUGUUAGAGAUUGAAGAUUACGCGAAGUUCAGAACACAGGUGUUAUUACAUUUUGGCUGUCUUCCUGACUAGCAUGAUCAUACUCUUGAGUACCCACUGUUCUCCUACAGAGAGUUUAUGAAAACAGGAAAGCUUGAUAUUUAAAUAAUGUUUAUAAAUUGCUUGAUUUGCAGAAAAGCAGACUACUGUUUAUUACAUAAAAUCUACAUACAUAUAUGUAUAAGACCCUGAUAAUAGGGCUAACAUGGUUUAUGAUUAUAAAUCAGUCUGGAGGGGUUGGUAGCAUUGAUGGUCUGUUUAAGAUAUAAAGUAACCAAGUGAAAAAUUAAAAUUGAAUCUACUGUUGUGGAAUUUCAUCUCAAAUCGUAUUAUUUGUUCUUCCUGAAUAUCCGUCUCCCUUCUGCUCUGCCUAACCAAAUUUCCAUUUUAGUUUUCAUCUGUCAGAAUGGCAAACAGUUUUUAGAAGUUAUGGUUUAAAAAAUCUCAAAGAACUUGGCAUUUUCAAAUGUUGCUAAUGGAAGUUCAAAUAGGUUCAAUAUUUGGGGGCGAGGGACAGAAUAGCAAGAAUUAUCAAAUUUUUUAAUAAAUUUAUGUUUUAUUUCUAAGACUUUAAGAAAACAAUCAUGGAGCUAUAUGAAGAUUUAUCAAGAAUGGUCAUAACCUAAUUUAAAAGAGUCAAACACAAAUAGAAAGAGGGAACUGCUUUAAAAAAUUAUGGUCCAUCUAUGUACAAAGAAAUACCAAGAAGUUAAUUUUUAGGAUGCAUAAAAAAGACUAUCCAAUGACCUUAAUAUACUGUCUUUUAGGAAAUUAAAAAGUCAGUAAGCAUAUGAACUGAUUGCUGCCUACAUCUUAAAAUUUCUAAACAAACUUCAUAAAAAAUACCAGAGUAUAUUCAACUAUUCACAGAGCUAGCAUUUAAAGCAUGCAACUAUGGAUGAUUUUCUUUCCUUCUUUGUCCUUUGUAUAUACUCUCCACCGUUUUUAAUGAGUAGGCUUCUUUGAUAAUCAUAAUUAAAAAUAAUUUUAAGCAGCUUUGAAACACUCACAUUAAAACAUUUCUUCCAUCUGAUUUCUAUUUUCCUUCUUUCCUUUCUUGGCAAAUUUGCCCUGAAAAGAAAACCCAGUUUUAUAAUCCUAUCCUUUGUAUCUCUAAUAACUUCUCUUCAGAUAUUGGGAAUGUACUCACCUCAAGUCUUUCACUUUUACUUUAGUUGUUGUGUUUUUAUUUGCUAAAUUUGUAUUAUUAUGAUAUCCAUUUAUUAUUCAUUAAAUAAACAUCUACUUGAGCACCUAGAGCGUGGCGUGUGCUGUUCUUCGUUCCAGAUCUG
rnacentral:lncRNA from 10 species